rnacentral:rRNA from 1 species
UGGGGAAUAUUGGACAAUGGGCGAAAGCCUGAUGCAGCAACGCCGCGUGCGGGAAGAAGGCCCUAGGGUUGUAAACCGCUUUCAGCAGGGAAGAAAAUGACGGUACCUGCAGAAGAAGGUGCGGCCAACUACGUGCCAGCAGCCGCGGUGACACGUAGGCACCAAGCGUUGUCCGGAUUUAUUGGGCGUAAAGAGCUCGUAGGCGGUUCAGUAAGUCGGGUGUGAAAACUCUGGGCUCAACCCAGAGACGCCACCCGAUACUGCUGUGACUUGAGUACGGUAGGGGAGUGGGGAAUUCCUGGUGUAGCGGUGAAAUGCGCAGAUAUCAGGAGGAACACCAGUGGCGAAGGCGCCACUCUGGGCCGUAACUGACGCUGAGGAGCGAAAGCGUGGGGAGCAAACAGGAUUAGAUACCCCAGUAGUCCCUGAGCGGGCUGGCAAGGCGCAU